rnacentral:lncRNA from 1 species
CUCCGAGCUCCGCGGGCUCCGGUGGGGCGGUGGUGGACGGUUUGGCGCGCGAGGUGUAGAGGGGACUCUCUUCCUCCCGAAGAGUGUCCACGGGCGCUCAGUGCGUCCUCACGCACUUUCCUGCUCCAAAAAUUUGGCUAAAGUUUUGUUGGAAAGUAGCAUCCAGAUGUGGGAGAUUGUGAAAAGUCGUGCGUAGAUUUAGGAACUAGAUCCAGAAAAAAGACGAUUACUCAGGGUGGUCAACUGAAGGUGAAGUGCUGUGGCAGUGGUUCAUGCUUUCUGAUUGCUCUGUAGCAUCCUGUUGAAUGACUAUGCCACAAAACAGGGAAGGGCUGGAGUCUGCCCCACAUUGCUAACACCAUUUCCUCACCUGUUGUGCAUCCUUCAGCCUCCUCCCCUAUCACAAGCAAAGAGAAUUCGCUGGCAUCAAUGCAACCAUGUUAGAAUAAAAGCAUAUUUUAUAAAUAAA